rnacentral:tRNA from 1 species
GGCCGGUUAGCUCAGUCAGUUGAGCGUGGCGCUAAUAACGCCAAGGUCGCAGGUUCGAUUCCCGUUCAGUCCC